GCUUAACGCGAAGAACCUUACCAGCCCUUGACAUGGUCGGACGGUUACCAGAGAUGGUUUCCUUCACUUCGGUGACUGACACACAGGUGCUGCAUGGCUGUCGUCAGCUCGUGUCGUGAGAUGUUGGGUUAAGUCCCGCAACGAGCGCAACCCUCGCCCUUAGUUGCCAUCAUUCAGUUGGGCACUCGUAAGGGGACUGCCGGUGAUAAGCCGGAGGAAGGUGGGGAUGACGUCAGGUCUUCAUGGCCCUUACGGGCUGGGCUACACACGUGCUACAAUGGUGGUGACAGAGGGCUGCUAGGCCGCGAGGCCAUGCUAAUCCCAAAAAGCCAUCUCAGUUCGGAUUGCACUCUGCAACUCGGGUGCAUGAAGUCGGAAUCGCUAGUAAUCGCAGAUCAGCACGCUGCGGUGAAUACGUUCCCGGGUCUUGUACACACCG
rnacentral:rRNA from 1 species